AUGAUACAAUAGGGUAUGUAAGUCUCGUCAUGUGACUUGCGAGAUUUCACGAUAUUUUGCACUUCCGGGUACAAACAAAUAUCAACAACAUUGCUUAUCUAUAUUGGGUAAUACUUGUAUGCCGGUGGGAAAGUAAAACUUACACGGAAAAACAAAGGAUAUGUGGAAAUUGGCAGAGUUUUUUUGUUUUGUAACGAAAUGCAAAUAGUUUCAUCUUGUGAACAAGUAUCAAUGAAAGACGACUUCGUAUAAUCUUCAGAUAUUUAGACUGAGGACAGUGGUGAGAUGAAAGACGUCAGUAUCCGAUGUAUAUACACAUGCAUGCUCUGCUGUAAAUCGUUUUGGUAUGUGAUUUCAUGGUUGGAUCUUGAGUACUUGUCAUGGCUCUUGGUUUAUUUUGGAGUAUUCACCAUCAGAUUAGAAACCAAAUAGUGAUACCACCAGACAUAGUUGAAAGGAAAUGUCCAUACACAGUCUUGGAGUACAUAGUGGUAUAGACAUGGCAGUCCAUUACAGAUUUUGACUGAAUUAAAGCUUCCUAAAGCUCCAUGUCUUGUGUAAACUGUCUGACUGAAUGUUUGUAUCCUAAUAAAAACUAAGGUUGGAGACAUUUCAAAGAUAUAUGUCAGUGUAAAAAUGUUAAACAAAGAAUCUGUCUUUAUUAGAAAUAAAUAACCUGUCUUUGUGAAAAAAUAAAUAACCUGUCACUUGUAACUUUGUAUUAACUUAAUCACCCAAAGAUAAUUUAUCUUCUGCAAAUGGCUGUCCAAAACAGUUUCAACCAGGCAUCAUGUUGUUUCAAAACAGUUAAGAUAAAAUUGUUUUAAAUAGACUUGUAAGGUGACAAGAAUGGUAAAAAGAUAAAUGAUUUGCAUGAAAAUGUUUCUAUCUUGAUUCAGUUUCAUUUCAUACUAUCACCAUGAUCACUGCAAUUGUAAAAGAAAUGUAAUUUAUAACCAUCAUUUAGAUAUCAUAAAAAUCAUCUCAAAGAAAAACUUGUUUCUGAGGCAAGAUGUGUAAAUUUCCUUCCAGUUAUAGCCUUUCACUGCUCUUAGAAAAUCCAUGAUUUGCAUUGUAUAAUACCAGAGUAAACAAUAUUAAUGCAAUUCAUCUGUGUUGAGUAUUCUGUAGCAAAACACUAGCUUGCUAGCCCUUGAAAGCCCAAUUCUGUCUCUUGAUCACAAAAUUGGAGAAGACUUGCAAUUCUGCAUUCCUUGAAAGAUUUUAGUAUCAGAGGGGCAGUUAUUACAUACCAUAUACUUCUUUGGGUUGUAAAUUACCUGUUUUAUAAUGUAUUGAACCUGUUUACAUUUGACCAAAAGUGAAUUAUCUAUACAAAACAUGCAACACUUGGUUUGCACUUGAUACAAAACAAUUACAUCACUGAUUCAUUAAUAUACCCAUUGGGACUGUUUCAAAAAUGUCAAUGUUUAAAAAAAAACACACAAUGCUUUUAACUUCUGUCCAUGUACAUAUGUGUAAAUGUAGUCAUUGAAGAGCUGUCAAGAACAGAACAGACAAAAUUCAAAUGACUUGCAUAGUAUUUAAUAUAGUCAAUGCCUGCAUAUUCAAGCAAUCUAGCCAUUGCUGUUAGAGAAUUAAAGUACACAGUGACACUUAUUUUGCAGAUGAACCCUUAUGAUCAGGUACUGCUAUAAAUAUAUGCCAAAUAGUAGAAACAAAAACAGUUCAUAAGUUUGAUAAACUUUUAUUUUUACACAAUUUAUAGUGCACUGCUUAGCAUAUAUAUCACACUGAUAUUCCAAUGGAAGAAAAACUUCAGGAAAGCACUGGAAAUUAUUACUAGUUAUUUAGACAGUGUAACUUUACACUGUGAAUGUCUACUGAUACAAGAAUAAGAAUAUUUCGUUUUACAAAUGUAAAGACUUUGAAAAUUAACAUGAACAAAUUAUCAUAGAGUUAUAAAUCAUAUUCUAAUUGAAAAAUGGUCAGCUUGAUAUCAAAGCUUUUCAUGCAAAUUUGUGAGCUUAUCAAUG